rnacentral:rRNA from 1 species
AGAACAGGGAUACGCUGGCGGAUGCUUAAACAUGCAAUGUAGAACGGGUUUAAGUUUAUUACACUUAAAUCAGGUAGCGGACGGGUGAGUAACGCGUAAGAACCUACCUUUAGGUAAGGAAUAACUAUUGGAAACGAUAGAUAAUACCUUAUAAGCUUAUAGUACAAGAUAAAAUCGCCUAAGGAUGGGCUUGCGUCUGAUUAGCUUGUUGGUGAUUUAAAAGAUUCACCAAGGCAACGAUCAGUAAUUGGUCUAAGAGGAUGAUCAACCACACUGGGACUGAGACACGGCCCAGACCUCUACGGAGGGCAGCAGUGAGGAAUUUUCCGCAAUGGGCGAAAGCCUGACGGAGCAAUGCCGCGUGGAGGAUGAAAGCUUGUGACUCGUAAACUCCUUUUCUUAGUGAAGAAAUAAGACGGUAUCUAAGGAAUAAGCAUCGGCUAACUCCGUGCCAGCAGCCGCGGUAAUACGGAGGAUGCAAGCGUUAUUCGGAAUUAUUGGGCGUAAAGCGUCUGUAGGUGGUUAGAUAAGUCUACUGUUAAAUAUUAAGGCUUAACCUUAAACAAGCGGUAUGAAACUAAAAAACUUGAGUUAAGUAGAGGUAGAGGGAAUUCUCGGUGUAGUGGUGAAAUGCAGUAAGAUCGAGAACAAAACCGGUAGCGAAAGAGCUCUAAUGGGCUAAAAAUGACACUGAGAGACGACAGCUAAGGGAGCCAAAUCAGAUUAAAUACCCUAGUCAUCUAGCUGUAGAGAUGCUACAAUUGUGGCUUAAC